AAAACUCAACUAGCUGCAGCUGAAUCCUCAAUCUAGCACUAGCAGAGAAUGAAGAAAGUUUUGAGCUAUUUCGUUGCGCUUCUAGUGCUGUUUGCCGUGAUCCAAACCUCCGCGCAAAAGUUCCCCGCCAUUAUAAUCCUUGGCGAUUCCAUCGUCGACUACGGCAACAAUAACAAUUUCACAAUCCCCUUCACCAUCGCAAGAGCAAAUCACUCGCCAUACGGGAGGCUCAUCAACAAUGGAGUUCCAACCGGCCGGUAUGCUGAUGGAUACACACUUCCAGACUUUAUAGGUAUAUCUCCACGAUAUAAUCUCGGUAGUAUCAAUAACAAACGUUUGCUUAGCCUUGAGACAGGGUUAUCAGCCUCCCCUGGCUUACCUUGAUCCAGCUUCAACAUGUAUAAAUCUUGCUCGCGGUGCCAACUUAGCAUCUGGAGGUGCCGGGAUCAUUGAUUCAAAUUCUUUGAUUCUUGUAAGCACAUAUUUCUUAUGUUUCAUAAUUUUAACUUGUGUAUCUUCCUUGAAUCACAGACACCGUACACCAUGUCUGUUCAGCUGGGCUGGCUCCAAACUUACAUCCAAAACCUCCGAAAUUGUGUGGGAGGCACCCAGGCCAAUUCGACCAUCUCCAGGGCCCUCUUCAUCUUUAGCGUUGGAUCCAAUGAUUUCUCUUACAAGAAUCUCAACCCGGCCGUCGCUGGCCUUAGCGAUGCGCAGUACCGGCAGCUGCUCGUAAACACGUACAGGAACCUGCUCCAGGUAUAUGUUUAUGCGUACGGACGCGUGAACAUUUUGUCUAAUUUCGUACGCGUUUUUCUAGGCUGCCUACCAGCUUGGUGCUCGAAACUUCUUCGUGUUUGCUCUUGGGCCACUCGGCUGCACUCCAAUCUCCAUCACUCUCCAGUGUGGAGCAUUUCCAAAUUCAUUUUGCAGAAGGAACUGUAACGAGGGCACGAAUCAACUGGUGUACGCUUUCAAUCUCGCGCUCCAGGCAAUGAUUCAGAAUCUCCAAAGCACACUGGCCGGUUCAAAGUUCUACUUCACCGUUGAUGCUUACAACGUUACCUAUGAUGCCGUGAAAAACCCUGCAAAAUACGGUAAGUUGUUUCUAAAGGCAAAGUAUCACACGACAUUAUCAACAUCUUUGGUGGUUUCAAGGUUUGAGGGUAGUUGAUAGAGGCUGCUGUGGAUUUGGCUACACAGAGAUUGGCGAUGGAUGCAAUAGAUUCUCGUUUGGGACGUGCUCCAAUGCGUUGCCUUUCAUUUUCUUCGAUGCCAUUCAUCCAACGUCCAGCUUCACACAGAAGCUCGCACCAGGAACUUACACACUCCUGGGAAUCUAACUAGUGGACUUGCUAGAAUAUUUUAGCAUACUGUAUAUUCAUUAAAUAAAUAUAGAAAAAAAAUUAAAUAAAUAAAACUUUGCAAAUUCUGCUAAAGGGAUGUUUAAAUUUGUGAUAUACCUUGCGACAGGAAGGAAACAAGCCACAUUAAAUUAAAAAAGACUUUUUAGCUGCUUUCGUGAUUUCCGCACGCGGCAUCAAAUAUGGAGACCCCAAAGUCAAGGCUUACCCACCAAUUUCUGUUUGGUAAUCACCAAUGAUUAUAGAUCCUAUUAAUCACCAGAAAACUCAUCACAACUCCUCUAGCACUAGCAGAGAAUGAAGAAAGCUUUGAGCUAUUUCGUUGCGCUUCUAGUGCUGUUUGCCGUGAUCCAAACCUCCGCACAAAAGUUCCCUGCCAUUAUAAUCCUUGGCGAUUCCAUUGUCGACUACGGCAACAAUAACAAUUUCACAAUCCCCUUCACCAUCGCAAGAGCAAAUCACUUGCCAUUUGGGAGGCUCAUUAACAAUGGAGUUCCAACCGGCCGGUUUGCUGAUGGAUACAUACUUCCAGACUUUAUAGGUAUAUUCUCCGCGAUAUAAUCUCAGUAGUACAAACGUUUGUUUAGCCUCGAGACAGGGUUAUCAGCCUCCCAAGGCUUACCUUGAUCCAGCUUCAACAUGUACAAAUCUUGCUCGCGGC
rnacentral:lncRNA from 1 species